CGCAGAAAACAGCCUUUUACUGUCUCGGUGGAUCCUAUUGCAGCUGCAGAGGAUGUCUGCACACAGUGACACGCUGUGGUCUUCAUACAACCACGAGCCAAAGCAGAUCGAUGUUUCUAUGUCCAACAGGUCCCAAUCAAAGCACAUACAGCAUGAGAUGCAAUAUUGAAAGGUCUGUUAAACCUGAAGCUAUGGUCACCGCCCUGGGAAACACACAAUCCAUCCAAGAAAAGUCUGGAAAUUUGCGUGAAUGCACGUUUAGGGCCUCUGAAAUCAAAAACCUUGAGUUCACGGAUCGCCACACAAGUUUUUACGUCUGUUUUUAGGUUCUACGUACAAAAUGCAGAGCCAAUGCAAAUUGACCUUUGACCAAUCAAGAGCUUGGAUUUGGGAGUGACGUAGAGGUAGCAUCCUUUUUGAGUCAUGGAAAUGCUGACCAUUGGUAAAAUGAUCACGGGAGAGAAAUUAUUAAAUGCGGUUUGAGCCAGGCUGGAUUUCUAUGACUCUAUGUCUUUCAAAUAUCAGAAUAUAGAGGAGGAAGACGUGUGAAUAGAAGAAAGAAGAAAAUGAGAGGCAGAGGUUAGAAGGCUUUAUUGUUGGCUCAAUUGUUUUCCGUUAGCCCCUGGUUUUACUUUUUUUUUUUUUUUUUUUACUUUUUUGUUUUUUUAAAGUGUAUCCAGUAAAUCUUAAGUAAUUUGCAGUAAAUGAGUAAAAGAUCCCAGAAGACCAGAACGCCAGUACGAUGGCAUCACAUAUUACAGAUAUUGAUAUAAUGAGACCUUUUUUCAUCUCUUUUUACAGUCAGUAUAAAUUCAAGAUGGAGACAC